GUCGAAGGUGGGGCUGAUGACUGGGGUGAAGUCGUAACAAGGUAUCCGUACCGGAAGGUGCGGAUGGAUCACCUCCUAACAGGGAGACAACACAAUGAUUUUGAUGCCUGAGUGCUUUUAUUCUUAGGCCGAAAUCCUGUCACCUUAGGUCGAUCGGUACCUCAGCUUUGAAGUCAAGGAUCAGCAGCAAUGUUGAUUGCUUGAUGGAGAUUUUCAGUUCCUAAACUUUGUCUAGGUCACACCCCAAAAGGGAUGAGACUCCUGGGCCAUUAGCUCAGGUGGUUAGAGCGCACCCCUGAUAAGGGUGAGGUCCCUGGUUCAAGUCCAGGAUGGCCCAUUCGGUGUUGGGGGUUUAGCUCAGUUGGUAGAGCGCCUGCUUUGCAAGCAGGAUGUCAGGAGUUCGAGUCUCCUAACCUCCACUGACCGAACUUGAUUCCCAUCUCCAAUUUGUUUGGAGUUGAGCUCGAUUGGAGUGUGAUUUAGAUGUGUCCGCUGGAUGAUCCCAGCUUCCUGUCAUUCCAAGUUUUAGGUUGAUGCCUUGAAUUUGGUUGAUAAGAUGCUGGGCUCUGAUCAAAUGAUCAAGCAAUUGAUGAUUUGAUUUGAAGUUCUAGCAGAACCUUGACAACUGCAUAGGUGAGUCUGGAAAAAACAAAGCAUCUUACAGAUGCAUUGUUUUGAAUCUGAUCUUCUGAAAGGGAGAUUGGAUCUAGAACAAUGAAAAUUCUUUUGAGCAAGAGCCGAGACUCUUGAGCGUUCUUUGAUUGGUGUCGAGCCAAUCAGAGUUUGAUCUUGUUUUUAGCAAUAAAAACUUGAGAAUCUGCUUUCAACGGCGGUAAUCGUUCAGGAGGUUAAUUGGUCAAGCUACAAAGGGCUCACGGC
rnacentral:misc_RNA from 1 species